rnacentral:rRNA from 1 species
GUGAGUCAUCGAAUCUUUGAACGCACCUUGCACCCUUUGGCAUUCCGAAGGGUAUGCCUGUUUGAGUAUCAUGAAAUUCUCAACUCUCCUCAGAUUUCAUCUGUAUGGUGAGCUUGGACUUGGAGGUCUUCUGCUGGCGUUCGCCGGCUCCUCUUGAAAUCAUUAGCCUUGAGUUGAUCUCGAUGGCCUGACCGGUGUGAUAAACAUCUACGCCGAUUCGUGCCGUCCUGAGCGACGACGUCGGAGACGCUCUGGCUUAUAACCGUCCAUCAACGGACGACUCUCUGAACUUUUGAUCUCAAAUCAGGUAAGACUACCCGCUGAACUUAAGCAUAUCAAUAAGCGGAGG